rnacentral:other from 15 species
UCGCGGCUGGCCGAUACGUCAGGAAAAAUAUCCCCGGGGCCUUAAGCAUUCCCAAGGGAGCUGUCCCUGCUUCGGGCCGUGGUCUGUUGCACACGGCGCCCACCUACGUUGUAGGUUUCCCGGGAUCGCACUUCCAACGGUCGGACGGCCGCACA